rnacentral:rRNA from 1 species
UACAGAGGUCUCGAGCGUUAGGCGGAAUCACUGGGCUUAAAGCGUGUGUAGGUGGAUCGUUAAGUACCUUGUGAAAUCCCACGGCUUAACCGUGGAACUGCUUGGUAUACUGGCGGUCUUGAGCCAGCUAGGGGCUACCGGAACAAAUGGUGGAGCGGUGAAAUGCGUUGAUAUCGGAAGGAACGCCGGUGGCGAAAGCGCACGACUGGAUCUCUUCUGACGCUGAGGCGCGAAAGCCAGGGGAGCAAACGGG